UGUGAUUGGGGUGGCGGCGGUCCUGGGCUAAGAUUCUGGAAGCCUGGGCUUUCCGAGGGUCUUAAGUAUCUGAUAUUCAGGAUACCUGAUAUGCAACCCCCAUGAAAGAGUCGUUUAACCGCCCUGCCCCCAAAGGGUUGUGACCCACAGGCUGAGAACCACCGGAUUGGACAAAACAAGAUUGGCUGUAUACUAGCAAUGUUGAACACAUUGUCAGCUGAUGAGGGUGCGUGCUGGGGGUUCAGACAUACUUAUCUUCAUUAAUGACAAUGAAAAUAACACGAAAACAGCUUUGAAACAAGAGUUAGGAGUUUGAAACCAGACUGAGGAAGCAGUACAGAAUGAGCCGGACACAUGAACUUUGGUUACCACCACCCUUCCACCACAGACCUCUGGAAUGACCGCCAAUGGAAAAAUUACAUUGUAUCCAAAGGUUCAAGAUGCACAGUCAAAGGCUGACCUGCUUACUGAAGGCAAAGGGACACCCUGCCAAUAUCUGCCCUUCAUGAGAUGCCACCUGCAGGAAUUGGAGACAGGACUCUUAACAAAAGGGCUACCGGGAGCUGGGAUGAGCCCAGUGCAUGGGCCACCUCUCCUCCUAGAUACAAUCGCCACGGUUGCACGUUCCCUCGGUGGAAGAAGAAUCAAGUGUGGGCGGAGGGCGACACCCCGUAGCCCCGGGGUCCGCGGCCCGCCGCUCCCUGCCCAGCACCCACCACGCGCGCAGCCCCGGGGCGGAGGAAGCAGCGCCCAGACGGAAGCGUUCCCCGAGGGUGAAAGGUCACCGUCCCCGCCCGGGCUCCCGCAGCUUCGGGCGGACCGCUACCUCCCGGCACUCGGGGAACCGGGCGCUCGGACACUCGGGCGCUCGGCCCCCCGGGCCGCGACGCUUGGCGGUUGGGCCGUCCCGCACUCGACUUACCCUUCCCGCCGCGGCGGCCGCUGGGCUGGAGAGAGCUGACGCGAGGGUAGCCGAGGCCAAGGGGACAAGGGGA